UACAGAGGGGGCAAGCGUUGUUCGGAAUUACUGGGCGUAAAGGGCGCGUAGGCGGCCUGCUAAGUCGAACGUGAAAUCCCCGGGCUCAACCCGGGAACUGCGUCCGAUACUGGCAGGCUUGAAUCCGGGAGAGGGAUGCGGAAUUCCAGGUGUAGCGGUGAAAUGCGUAGAUAUGCGGAGGAACACCGAUGGCGAAGGCAGUCCCCUGGGCCUGUACUGACGCUCAUGCACGAAAGCGUGGGGAGCAAACAGG
rnacentral:rRNA from 1 species